ensembl:snRNA U4 U4 spliceosomal RNA
AGCUUUAUGCAGUGGCAGUAUUGUAACCAGUGAAGUUUAUCCAAGGCAUAAUUAUUGCUAAUGGAAAACUUUUCCCAAUACCCCACGAAGACGACUUGAAACAGUCAGCAUUGGCAAUUUUUACUUUUAAAUAUGAA